rnacentral:misc_RNA from 1 species
GUAGCAUCCGUUAACGGCAAUGCACCACGAGCCGCACUUCCCCCGCGAACGAGGAGCAAGACCGGCUCGAGGGCAAGCGUCAUUCAAGGCAACCGAAAUUCGAGGGACACGAUGGGGCAUCGACCCAUGUUCACCGCAUGGACCGCAUCCGAGAGAACGGUACAUGCCCGUGUGCCGCAGAGGUCAUGACAAUGCAUAACUAAUGCGGAGCACGUGCAUUACCUUGAAAUCCUCCGGCAACCCCGCAAAGGAGGCCCGGAUAGAAGGGGAAUUACGAGCCACGUGAAUACCAUUUUUAACAGGUAGUCAGCACAGGAACCGCGAAAGAACACCAGAGCC